ACUUAUUCCUGCUGUUUAAUAACAUAACUUUCAGUACUGUGCUAAGAAACACUCAAAGUAUUGCUUUGCAGCUCUGCAUUGUUGUAAUCUGGCUUCUCAGGCAAAUAUAUUGACCUAUGCUUAAAUUAAAAGAAGAGAAUGUUUUCAUUCACACAAAUUCUCUAAAUUAGUAAUGAGCCUAGGUUUAAUGUGUGUGUAACUGUCUGUAGAGUUGGGGUAUUACCUGUUAAACUGAUUUCCUCUACUUAAUAGCUUAGACCUGGUCUAAACUGGAAAGAUUUUAUACUUAAAAUUGAUAUAAACCAAAAUUAUAUCCUCACAAAUUCUUUUAGUUUUCAUUAAAUUAUCAUUUAUAUGCUUUCAAGUGAGAUGUGUCAGCUUGAGAAUAAACCACAUUACUACAAGGCUGAUGAGAACAGGUGCCAGUUCCAGGUUCAUAAUACUGUUUUAGUAGCUUUUCCACAUACACUGCUUUAGUAUCCUCCAGACCAACUGUCUUCUUCCUGUUCUUGUUGGGGUAUGCCAGUAGCAUCUGUUGCUGCAGCUCCAGGUUUUGUAAAAGUAGACCUCUAAAACUCACCAUUUCCAACAAACAUUCUGGACCCUUUCUGCAUUAAGAGAUAAGAGACCAUAUUUAAAUUAUGUUCCCAGUAGCAAAGAGAUCAAUGACACCAUCCACCAUUAGGUAGUUGAACAAAUGUCCAGGGAAGAGUAAUUCGGGGAUCUAUGUCACACUCAAGAAAUCUGGUGCAUAUUUAUUAAGAACACCAAAUACAGAAACCUUCAGAAAACCAUUCCCAGGACAUGUGUGCUGUGUGGAGUUAAGCUGAAUGUGGCAGAGAGGCUCUCUUGGAUUAGUGAAAAUUGUGCCUCAACUAAAGCAGAAACACACUGGAAGCUAUGCAGGCACAUCUGGACUCUUAACUAGAAGAUAAAUUCUCUGGACAGCCAAGACUGUUUUAUGGAAGACCAAAUAAAAUGCCUCCCAGGAAAACAGACUGACUGUCCUGCAGAGGGAACCUCACUUGCAUCUUGCAUGGAACAGCUCACGGAGGAAGGGAUAUUACUGAUUGUUUGGUAAACCUGAGGAAAGAGAAGGCAAACAUCCUUCUUCAUCUCUAGCCUUGUGAAGGGAUCCCAAUGGCAGGCAAAGUGCCCAGAAGAAGGAAGUUUGUGUUGCAAGACAAGUUCAAGAGCGAAAGUGUGCAAUGGGAGCAAAUGGAAAAAUUUGGAAGAGAAAGGGACAUAAAGGAAAAGACCAUUGGACAUGAUGCAAAAGCUGCUAAACAUGCUGGAGAACUGUUUCACUUUGCUUGUGUGUAACAUCCUAAAGCAAUCCAGGCCUGUAGCUUUUCAUUCUUCCAGCUGUGAGCCACAAGCAGUCCCUUCAGGUUUUCCACCCCAAGAUGUGGGAGCACAUAUGAUUCUGUUUCACAUUUCUGAACCCUUUAUAAAAUGUGUCUGGCCUCCCAUGUUAGUUUUUGUGUCCCAUUUUAGUUAUUUCCAUUUGCACUAUCCUAUUGUGCCAAAACAACCAUUUUAGUUAUGAUUUGCAGUUAACUGGAAAGAAAAGCAUAGGUCUCCCUGCUAAGAGCCAUUUGUAAUAAAAUUGAAGUAAGGAAACUGUAUAUCAAGACAUUGUAUUUGUUUCGUUCAUUGCACUGUCAUGAAGUUUCUCCUCCAUCUGAGAUAUACAAGCACAGAAUUUCCGUGAACCCAGUUCCCUCAGUUACAGAUACAUGAAAAAGAGAAAUAAGCAAGUUGGCAACAUCUUGGCUCUUUGAAAAACAACAUUGCCCAAUAUGCUUCGUCUUCUAAGUUGGAGGAAGAAAAGGGGAAUGUCUGGUGCACUGUUCUUGGAAGCUUGCCAGUCCUUGACUUUGAGCAGGCUCCAGCUUGUGAUUAAACACCUCUGCUUUCCUUUCUGUCUUCCAAAUGUUCACUGAUCAUUCUGCUUCAGCCCAACAUACUUGAAUGUCUAGAAAAGCUUCUGAAAAGCCACGGAAGCCAAGAUACAGUCUUAAAAUACUACAUUUUAUGCUACAAUGCCAUUUAGACCCUGUGAUGUGUGAGUGAGCAAAAGCUUUGUGUUUUUGUGCAUAAAACAGUGAACUUUUCGCCUAAAAGUUCUGGUACUAAGCCUUUUCCAGGUUUCUCCAUGAAAAUAUUCCCAAUAUUCCUACAAUAUACAAGUUGAGUUGAUAUGCAUUCUUGCUUUGCAGAAAAGGUUUGGUAUCAGAAUCUUUAAAUCAGAAUCAGAAAACUCUCAGUCCAUACAGCAGGUGAGGGAAACCUUUUGCUGUCCAAAACUUUAUUUGCAAAAACCUGCUAGUGAACUGGACCUGGUUUGGAGGUCUAACAGUGACAGUGUGGUUGUCUUGAUAACCUCUGGUAUGUGAAGCUGUCAGGAAUUUUAGGCUCAUCAGCUUUGAUCUGGGCCAAAAGGCCAUUAUAAAUGAGUGCACAUCAUUGUGGUACUCCUGGCAGUUGUUUUUCACCUACACUAAUUUGUGUAGGGUAAUGACUUACAGAUCUGUCCCAUGAUGCUUCUAGGCUGACUUCCUAGAGAGUGCUGCAAGAAAGAUAUUUAGCUUGUAGUUACAAAUUGGUAUUGCUGUCUUUUUCUACAAAUCGGCAUUUAAUUUGGGAUUGUUGAGUAUUUCCAGGCUGCAGGGAUGAGGAAAGAAAUUAAAAAGUUAAAUUUUCUGGCAAUGAUUAAAUAAUUAAAUAGUCAAAUCAGAACCUGUUUGGCCUCCACAAUUUAAAUUUACCUGCUUGCUACUAUCACUGAAAUACCGUUGUGUCCCAGAUCCUUAGCAGUCCUGAGAAACUGCUUGGAACUGGAAAAGCAAUGUGUUCUUUAUUAAGAACAGUAACAACAACCAAAUCCUGGUGUUAACACUGAUAUAAACAAAAGCAGUCAAAAAAAAAGCCUUGAUACACAUUUUAGCUUGCAGUAGGUUUGGAUAUGAGUGUGCAGCCUUACAGGUAAUAGUGUGUGCAGCACUGAGCCCAGUGGCUAAACUGAGAUGGACUUGUUCAGGGUGUAAGGAGGAGAAAGAAUCUCAGUCCAGGAGAGACGCUGUCAUUUUAAAAAGGAACAGGUGCACACCUUAUAAUUGAGGCUAGGUGAAUGUGAAUUUUCAGUUCAAGUGUUUGCUCAAGUACAGCAAAACAGAAAUACGGUCAACAAAAACUUGAAGCCUAAAUACACCUAUCAUAAGAACAAUUUCAAGAAAAAUCUUUCCUGCGUAGACCAGCUCUUAAACACUUAUGAGGCAUCCAUUGGUGAGUAAAGGACAUUAAGGAAAAUCUAUAUUAAAAUUUUAUUUUGCAUUUGUAAAGUCAACAUAGUUAUAUCACUGCAAAUUCUAAAAUCCAAUAGACAUACUGUAUAUGAUUUUAUAAAAUUGUUUGUUUGUAUAUAGCAUAACAUGGGCAGACUAGUUUCUGAGUUACUUUACUCUUUCUUGUGGACCCAGUUUCGUGGGAUAGUUAAGCUGUGGACACAUGGGUACUUGCUAUGCUUGGUAAAGGGUAUAAGUUAUUCUUAUCAGUUAUUCUUGUUUCCUGAUAAAACAUCUUUCUGUUUUGUCUGAUAAAAAGGGAGGGAAAAAUGUACUAAUCCCAAACAUAUGGUCUAAGGUAAAAUCAUGUUCUGUCAUACUGCCAGGAAAGGUUGUAACAUACUGGAUUGAGAUUUGACAACAUCAGCUUGUUGCCUCAGAAGCCGAGAAUAAUUUGUUAAAAGAGUGCCCACAUCUCAGAGGCUGGGAGAAAGUUAUUUAUCUGCUUCCUUGUAGAAGGUCUCCUUUAUCAAGGUGACUGUAAACUGUUCACAAAGGCCACAGGAGCAGCAGAAACUCAGAUCCUGAUAUUCAAACUGCAUGUUCCUUUAAGCCUUAGCCUGUUAUUUUUUGGGGAGUGAGGAUUGGUUUUUUGCUUUAAGUUUCUUAGGUGUAUUUGGGGUUUUUGGGGGACUUUUUGUUUGGCUGCUAUUUGGGACUUUUUUUUGUCUUGUAGCGUGUUUUGUCAUCACUAUGCUUCCAUAACCUAAGAACUAAGAACAGUUUUGGAACUGGCCUGGAAUAGACCAUGUCACCCUUUUCCAAAUGAUGAUAUCUGGCCCUUUUAGCUCCAGUGUCACAACACCUCCUCUUGAGUAAUUUCAGUGUAGGAAUACUGUAGGAACAGCCUUUUGGUAGCUCAGAGGAUCACUGUGUUCUUUGUGGUUACAUGAUUUUGAUAGAAUAAGAUCUUGAUGCUGAUCAAGAUCUAGCUUUUGCCACACACAGAUGGAAGCUGGUGGUAAUAUUUUUCUGAGCUUGUGAUCUCAGUAGACUAGCAAGCAAACCCCUUGUCUCUUUUACUUCACUGGUUACCUUUUUUGAGGAAAAAUUCCAUUUAUCAGAAAUAACCUAUGUUUUUCAAAGUGUCUCAAGGACACCCAUUAAUAACUGCUUAUGAGAUCCCCAUCUCUGGAUUCUUUGUUGUCUAAAGCCCAGAGAUCCUUCAUGUAAUAGCUUAAGAAACAAAAAAAAAAAAAAAAAAAAGAUAAUUCUUUAUCAGCCUGCAAUUAUUUUCUAAAGAUCUGGACUUCCCUCAAUAAGAAUUUAGUGAGAAGAAAAAGCUGUUCAAGUUUUUUUCAAACAUGGUAUGGUGUAGCAUGCUGUUAAGCAACAUGAUGGACAUGAUGACCUGUGACCAGAAAUACAGAAGUAGCAGAUGACCAUUUAUGACUCAAAGGAGGAUGUAAUUGAAACAAUAUUGCCUCAAUCUGGUUUUCUUUUCCUUGGCUUACUCAUGAUCACAAUAUCUGAUUGCUUCUGUUUUUGUCAUGUGGCAGAGCUCAGAUGGUGUGUCAGUCAGUCCUGGUGCAGUGUUCUGAUGGGUUUUGUGAUAUACAUCCCUUAAUUUCCUUAUUACCUGAGAACUCCCAGGAAGUUUAAGCAGGAGUUAGCUAUCCCAACAAUGACAGUACUGGCCUGGUUUAGACACUUGUUAGAGUUUUCUUCUUAUACUUUUUUUGUGCAGCAUUUGACACACUUGCCUUAACAUGAGAAUGGAGUGCCUGUAAAUGUCAGUCAAAUCCUGCAGUGGGAUGUGUGCAGUGUCCCAUCUCCUGCUGUGUAUUCUAGUCACAUGAUUUACUUACAAACACAUUCAGGAGUUCAAAACUUCAUCUGCAAUAUUUUACCUGAAGGUACUCGCACAGCAGUGAAUGAAAACUUCAGCUUACAUGUAUGUACAACAACUGCAUUAAGAAAAAAUAAUUCUGAAAUAAUAAACAACUUCUGAAAUGCU